rnacentral:rRNA from 1 species
GAUGAACGCUGGCGGCGUGCCUAAUACAUGCAAGUCGAGCGAACGGACGAGAAGCUUGCUUCUCUGAUGUUAGCGGCGGACGGGUGAGUAACACGUGGGUAACCUACCUAUAAGACUGGGAUAACUUCGGGAAACCGUAGCUAAUACCGGAUAAUAUUUUGAACCGCAUGGUUCAAAAGUGAAAGAAGGUCUUGCUGUCACUUAUAGAUGGAUCCGCGCUGCAUUAGCUAGUUGGUGAGGGAACGGGUCACCAAGGCAGCGAUGCAUAGCCGACCUGAGAGGGUGAGCGGCCACAUUGGGACUGAGACACGGCCCAGACUCCGACGGGAGGCAGCAGUAGGGAAUCUUGCGCAAUGGACGCAAGUCUGACGGAGCAACGCCGCGUGAGUGAAGAAGGUGUUCGGAUCGUAAAACUCUGUUGUUAGAGAAGAACAAGUGCUAGAGUAACUGUUAGCGCCUUGACGGUAUCUAACCAGAAAGCCACGGCUAACUACGUG